rnacentral:misc_RNA from 1 species
CGCAGCCGCGGUAAUUCCAGCUCCAAUAGCGUAUAUUAAAGUUGUUGCAGUUAAAAAGCUCGUAGUUGAAUUUCGGGAUCAGUUGGUCGGUCGUGCCUCGGUACGUACUGGUCAAAUUGAUUCCUACCUUCUGACGAACCACGAUGUCAUUAAUUUGGUGUCGCGGGAAAUCAGGACUGUUACUUUGAAAAAAUUAGAGUGUUUAAAGCAGGCUCGCGCUUGAAUACAUUAGCAUGGAAUAAUGAAAUAGGACGUUUGAUUCUAUUUUGUUGGUUUCUAGGAUCGACGUAAUGAUUAAUAGGGAUAGUUGGGGGCAUUAGUAUUCAAUUGUCAGAGGUGAAAUUCUUGGAUUUAUUGAAGACUAACUACUGCGAAAGCAUUUGCCAAGGAUGUUUUCAUUAAUCAAGAACGAAAGUUAGGGGAUCGAAGACGAUCAGAUACCGUCGUAGUCUUAACCAUAAACUAUGCCGACUAGGGAUCGGAUGAUGUUAAUUUUUUAAUGACUCAUUCGGCGCCUUAC